UACGUAGGGGGCAAGCGUUGUCCGGAUUUAUUGGGCGUAAAGAGCGUGUAGGCGGUCAGGUAGGUCCGUUGUGAAAACUCGAGGCUCAACCUCGAGACGCCGAUGGAAACCAUCUGACUAGAGUCCGGAAGAGGAGAGUGGAAUUCCUGGUGUAGCGGUGAAAUGCGCAGAUAUCAGGAGGAACACCAGUGGCGAAGGCGGUGCUCUGGGCCGGAACUGACGCUGAGGAGCGAAAGCGUGGGGAGCAAACAGG
rnacentral:rRNA from 1 species